rnacentral:rRNA from 1 species
UACGUAGGGGGCGAGCGUUGUCCGGAAUUACUGGGCGUAAAGCGAGCGUAGGCGGCACUACAAGUCUCAUGUGAAAUACCCGGGCUUAACUUGGGGGUUGCAUGGGAAACUGUAGAGCUUGAGUACAGGAGAGGCAAGCGGAAUUCCUAGUGUAGCGGUGAAAUGCAUAGAUAUUAGGAGGAACACCAGUGGCGAAGGCGGCUUGCUGGACUGAAACUGACGCUGAGGCUCGAAAGCGUGGGGAGCAAACAGG